GGGGUUGUGGCUCAGAGGUAGAGCGCUCGUCUGACAUGCGUGAGGCACUGGGUUCGACCAUCAGUACCA
rnacentral:tRNA from 1 species